rnacentral:rRNA from 1 species
UACAGCGGUCUCAAGCGUUGUUCGGAUUCAUUGGGCGUAAAGGGCGCGUAGGCUGCGGGGCAAGUCGGGUGUGAAAUCUCAGAGCUCAACUCUGAAACUGCACUCGAUACUGCUUUGCUCGAGGACUGGAGAGGAGAUUGGAAUUCACGGUGUAGCAGUGAAAUGCGUAGAUAUCGUGAGGAAGACCAGUGGCGAAGGCGGAUCUCUGGACAGUUCCUGACGCUGAGGCGCGAAGGCCAGGGGAGCAAACGGG